GAGAUGCCCAGACAGUUUCCAAAGCUGAACAUCUCUGAGGUUGAUGAGCAUGUGCGACUUUUAGCAGAGAAGGUAUUUGCUAAAGUUCUCCGAGAAGAAGACAGCAAAGAUGCCUUGUCACUAUUCACUGUGCCUGAAGACUGCCCUAUUGGGCAGAAAGAGGCCAAGGAAAGAGAACUGCAGAAGGAACUGGCAGAACAACAGUCUGUGGAAACAGCUAAAAGGAAGAAAAGUUUCAAGAUGAUUCGAUCCCAGUCUUUGUCAUUACAAAUUCCACCUCAGGAAUGGAAAGCACCAUCAGCCAAUCCUGUUCUGUCUCCUGCAACGCCAGUUCUUCCAAGUGCUUUUCUGCCAGUCCAAGUGCCAUAUGAUGUACCAGAGUUUCAGAGAGUUUCAAUUAGUGGGGACUACUGUGCAGGGGUUACAGUUGAUGAUUAUGAGCAAGCUGCCAAGAGCCUGGUGAAAGCUCUUCUCAUUCGAGAAAAGUAUUCACGUCUUGCCUACCAUCGCUUCCCAAGAACGACAUCUCAGUAUUUGUGUAGCAUGCAAGAUGAAAAGUGGAGGGUUGAAGAUGAAGUGUAUCCAGAUUUCCAUUCACCCCCAGAAGAAAAUGAAGAUCCUUACAAUCUUGAUGAUGCUCCAGACAAUUUGGAUUAUAUUAUCAAGAUAAAAGGUGGCAUUCCCUUUGUUUAUGAUAACAAAGAAAUGAUGGAACUCAAUGAACCUCACAGUCUGCCAUAUCCUGACCUGGAGACCUACACUCUUGACCUGAGCCAUGUUCUUGCUCUAAUUGCUGAUGGUCCAACAAAAACAUAUUGCCAUCGGAGGCUUAACUUUUUAGAAUCUAAAUUUAGUUUACAUGAGAUGCUAAAUGAAAUGUCGGAAUUUAAAGAACUAAAAAGUAAUCCCCAUCGAGACUUUUACAACGUGAGAAAGGUUGAUACUCACAUCCAUGCUGCUGCUUGCAUGAACCAGAAACACUUACUGAGGUUUAUUAAGCACACGUAUCAAACGGAGCCGGACAGGAUUGUUGCAGAAAAGAAAGGGAAGAAGAUGACUUUAAAGCAAGUCUUUGAAAGCCUUCACAUGGACCCUUAUGACCUGACUGUAGAUUCUUUAGAUGUCCAUGCAGGUCGUCAAACUUUUCAUCGAUUUGACAAAUUCAAUUCUAAGUACAAUCCAGUUGGUGCCAGUGAGCUGAGGGACUUGUAUUUGAAAACUGAGAACUACAUUGGUGGUGAAUAUUUUGCUCGUAUGGUCAAGGAAGUAGCCCGUGAACUAGAAGAAAGUAAGUACCAGUAUACAGAACCCCGCUUAUCCAUUUAUGGACGGUCUCCAGAUGAAUGGCUGAACUUGGCAAAAUGGUUCAUUAAGCAUAAAGUUUAUUCCCCUAAUAUGCGCUGGAUAAUUCAGGUUCCCAGAAUCUAUGAUAUAUUUAGAUCAAAAAAUAUUCUGCCUAGUUUUGGGAAGAUGUUGGAGAACAUCUUUGUACCUUUGUUUGAAGCAACAAUUAAUCCCAAAGAUCACAAAGAAUUGCACCUUUUCCUCAAAUAUGUGACUGGCUUUGACAGUGUUGAUGAUGAAUCCAAGCAUAGUGGCCAUAUGUUCUCUGACAAGAGCCUUAACCCUGACCUCUGGACCAGUGAUAAAAACCCCCCAUACAGCUAUUAUUUGUAUUAUAUGUAUGUGAACAUCAUGUUGCUAAACAACCUUAGGAAGGAAAGUUUAAAGAGGCAUGUGUACUUUCCUGUUCCGACCUCACUGUGGAGAAGCUGGGUCUAUCACACACCUUGUAUCAGCCUUUCUGACAGCAGACAACAUUUCUCAUGGAUUACUCUUGAAGAAGAGUCCUGUCCUCCAGUAUCUAUAUUAUCUUGCACAAAUACCCAUUGCUAUGUCUCCACUUAGUAACAACAGCCUAUUCUUGGAGUACUCAAAAAAUCCACUACGGGAGUUUCUACAUAAGGGACUUCAUGUCUCUCUCUCCACAGAUGAUCCUAUGCAGUUUCAUUAUACAAAGGAAGCUCUCAUGGAAGAAUAUGCUAUUGCAGCCCAGGUGUGGAAACUAAGUACUUGUGACUUGUGUGAAAUAGCAAGAAACAGCGUGCUACAGAGUGGAUUGUCAGAUCAGGAAAAACAGAAAUUCUUAGGGCUGAAUUACUAUAAAGAAGGGCCUGAGGGAAAUGACAUUCGGAAGACAAAUGUUGCACAGAUCCGGAUGGCCUUCAGGUAUGAGACACUGUGCAAUGAACUGAGUUUCCUGUCUGAUGCUAUGAAAACAGAAGAGAUUUCUACUCUGUCAAAAUAG